rnacentral:rRNA from 1 species
CCUACGGGUGGCAGCAGUGAGGAAUAUUGGUCAAUGGGCGAGAGCCUGAACCAGCCAAGUCGCGUGCGGGAAGACGGUCCUACGGAUUGUAAACCUCUUUUGUCAGGGAGCAAGGAGCGCCACGAGUGGUGCGGCGAGAGUACCUCAUGAAAAAGCAUCGGCUAACUCCGUGCCAGCAGCCGCGGUAAUACGGAAGGUGCGAGCGUUAUUCGGAUUUAUUGGGUUUAAAGGGUGCGCAGGCGGAAGCGGGAAGGCGGCGGUAAAAGUGCGGGGCAAAACAUCGCCGAGCCGUUGACACUGAUCUUCUAGAGUGGGCGGAACGUAUGCGGAAUGCGUGGUGUAGCGGUGAAA